CCACCACUGUUAGGAGAACUGUAAGAGAAAGGACUCCCAUUCCUGAGGCUACUUCUACACCGAUGCAGCAGCAGACACACACCAGUGAUGCUGUUACACUGGGUAAAUCAGAAACACCACUGAGUUUUGUGGAAUUUUGUUUGAUUGAGACAGGAAACUUCAAACAACGCAGUCCAUAAAGACACCUGCAUUGUUGAUGUGAUCACUGAUUGGAGCUUAAAGCAGUGCAGACAGAAGAGGGCAGCAUCUAGUAAUAUUUGUUGUGCUGAUAUUUUACAUUGAUAGAUAAAAUAAAUUUUCUGAAAUCUGAAAAUCUGAACCACGUAACCGCACUGAACAUUCAGUGAGACUGUAAUGAUACGGGUUGGUGUGUUGAGUGCUCGCGAGCUCUGAAUGUUAGAAUCAGAGAGUGAUCUGUGUGUCUUUAAUAGAUUAUGAUCUAAAGUUACAGGCUAGAAAAAAUGUAAAAGUUUUAGUUAUAUUUUGUUAUAUUCCUGAUAUUCCUUAUAUUUUCAAUUAUCAUACUUUUUAUGCUUAAUCUAACAUGUUUGUUUGUGCCUAAAAAGAAAUAAAGAAUUCUUUAAUUAGUUAAUGAUUUAUAAUUCAUAUUGCUAAAAUGUUUGAUCUUAAUACUGUA